rnacentral:rRNA from 1 species
UGAGGAAUAUUGGACAAUGGGUGGAAGCCUGAUCCAGCCAUCCCGCGUGAAGGACGACGGUUCUAUGGAUUGUAAACUUCUUUUAUAUGGGGAUAAACCUACCCUCGUGAGGGUAGCUGAAGGUACCAUAUGAAUAAGCACCGGCUAACUCCGUGCCAGCAGCCGCGGUAAUACGGAGGGUGCAAGCGUUAUCCGGAUUUAUUGGGUUUAAAGGGUCCGUAGGUGGGUUGGUAAGUCAGUGGUGAAAUCCUGCAGCUUAACUGUAGAAUUGCCAUUGAUACUGCUAGUCUUGAGUGUAUUUGAAGUAGCUGGAAUAAGUAGUGUAGCGGUGAAAUGCAUAGAUAUUACUUAGAACACCAAUUGCGAAGGCAGGUUACUAAGAUACAACUGACGCUGAUGGACGAAAGCGUGGGGAGCGAACAGG